rnacentral:rRNA from 1 species
AGUUAACGUCAAAACCGGUGAGGUAUUAGCUCCCGGCAUUUCUUCACUGCUGAAAGUGCUUUACAACCCUAAGGCCUUCUUCACACACGCGGCAUCGCUGGUUCAGGCUUUCGCCCAU